UUUUCACUUCUUCCUCUUGGACAUUUGGGCCAUUUGAGAGUCAACGGUAUCCAACGUGCUCACAUGACCUGCAAGCUACCAGAUGUCACUGAAAGCCUCUGACAUCAGCAUCAGGCACCUGCACAAGCAUCUUUUUAUCCCACUCGGGAAGGCCCACAGCUGGAUCCAAAGAACUCAUCGCAAAGACAAACUUUGGCAAAGGAAACCUGGUGCUCCGAGCAGGAUGUAUAAAUUAGAGCCAGUUGUGGAUCACAUCACUGCCUAAUUUUACUAAAGAGGUGAAGAAGUUCUUUGAUUCAGUUUUAGAGAUUCUUCAAAUGCAGGCAUUUGGGAGUGGUGGCCGGGCUGUUUGACCAGAGGACGCGGGGACCACACAGUCCUGUCUCCAGUGGACUAUCUGCAUUCCUUCACGUUUCUCGAAUGAAAUACCAAAAGAUCAAACAGGUCCCCGAGGGGUGAACGUGGAUGGCGGAUGGUGCAUUCAAAGUGCUGGGGUUCUGCUAGUUGAUCCACCUCUUUGGCUAUCUGAAGAAAGAGAAUGUCAUUCUUGGAGACGGAGAUAAAGAAAUGAAAUGUCCUUCAGGCAUUAUUGCUGGCUGGACCAUCUGUGGGAAGGAGCGAGGACUCAACGCUGUUCAAAGCGACAUUUGGACUAAGAAGUGCCAUUCUGAUAUGAGGAGUGGAAUCUCAUCUCAGUGUAAUAUGGCUGGUCACGAACACAUAUUGAAGAAACGUAAGCAAAAUACAGAAAGUGCUGAUUUUCAAAG